rnacentral:lncRNA from 1 species
GGGGAGCGCGGAGCGACCCUGCGCGGGGGCGGCGGCGGAGGCCGGGCCGCCAUGCGCCGUGCCGCGGGCCGGGCUCGCCAUCCUGCGGCGUAGCGGCGGGACGCGGCUUGGCUUUCCGCCCGUGAUGUCCCCCGGGCAACAGGGGAAGGCGACUCACUCGAGGGCUGCGGCAGAGGCCUAGUGCGGCCAGCGCCGCUCCGCGUCCCCGCCGCCGCGCCCCCAUGGCCGAGGAGCAGCAGCCGGAGGGGCAGCCGCCGCGGCGGCUCGCCGGCACCCCUGUGCCCGGCGGGACCCUGCCGGCCCUGGUGCCGGGGCUGCAAGGCGGCGAGGCCAGCGCGCUGCAGCACAAGAUCUGCAGCUCCAUCUGCAAAACUGUACAAUCUAAAGUGGACUGCAUUUUGCAUUUCAUCCAGAAGUACCAGCGGGUGAGACAAAAUGAUGACAUGCACAACCAUCUGGAUACGAUCAAACAGAAUCUGUUCAGCUGUACGGCUGCGCUAAAGAAUACUCCUUAAAGUCACAUUAUCGUAGGCUAAUUCAGAUGAAAUUGAAUUCUCUUUCCUUAAAAUCUUGUCUUAAUUUACUGUAGUAAGAGGUUUAAAGUAAGCUGUAUUGUUGUACUGCAGAUGAACGUGGACCCAGUUUUGCCUGUACUUAAAAAUUCUUGAAUGCAUCCAACUAAAAUUGUGAUACAAAAUG